UACGUAGGGUGCAAGCGUUGUCCGGAAUUAUUGGGCGUAAAGAGCUCGUAGGCGGUUUGUCGCGUCUGCCGUGAAAGUCCGGGGCUCAACUCCGGAUCUGCGGUCGAUACGGGCAGGCUCGAGUUCGGUAGGGGAGACUGGAAUUCCUGGUGUAGCGGUGAAAUGCGCAGAUAUCAGGAGGAACACCGGUGGCGAAGGCGGGUCUCUGGGCCGAUACUGACGCUGAGGAGCGAAAGCGUGGGGAGCGAACAGG
rnacentral:rRNA from 1 species